rnacentral:rRNA from 1 species
GACGAACCGUCCUAACGUUGUUCGGAAUCACUGGGCUUAAAGGGCGCGUAGGCGGCUUAUCAAGUCCGGGGUGAAAGCCUCCAGCCCAACUGGAGAAGUGCCUUGGAUACUGGUAAGCUUGAGGGAGGUAGGGGCAACUGGAACUUCCGGUGGAGCGGUGAAAUGCGUUGAUAUCGGAAGGAACGCCGGUGGCGAAAGCGCUCUGCUGGACCUUAACUGACACUGAGGGACGAAAGCUAGGGGAGCGAAUGGG